AUACGUAGGUGGCAAGCGUUAUCCGGAAUUAUUGGGCGUAAAGAGUGAGCAGGCGGUUAAUUAAGUCUGAGGUUAAAGCGUGGGGCUCAACCCCAUAAAGCCUUGGAAACUGAUUGACUAGAGGAAGGGAGAAGUGAAGGGAAAUCCAUGUGUAGCGGUGAAAUGCGUAGAUAUAUGGAAGAACACCAGUGGCGAAGGCGCUUCACUAGCCCGAAACUGACGCUCAGUCACGAAAGCGUGGGUAGCAAAUAGGAUUAGAUACCCUAGUAGUCCACGCUGUAAACGAUGACAACUAAAUAUUGCCGCGAGGCAGUGUUGAAGCUAACGCAUUAAGUUGUCCGCCUGGGGAGUACGGUCGCAAGACUGAAACUUAAAGGAAUUGACGGGG
rnacentral:rRNA from 1 species